rnacentral:rRNA from 1 species
UACGAAGGGUCCAAGCGUUAUCCGGAUUUAUUGGGUUUAAAGGGUGCGUAGGCGGCUUAUUAAGUCAGUGGUGAAAGCCUUCAGCUUAACUGAAGAAUUGCCAUUGAUACUGAUGAGCUUGAGUAUAUUUGAGGCCGGCGGAAUGUGUCAUGUAGCGGUGAAAUGCUUAGAUAUGACACAGAACACCGAUUGCGAAGGCAGCUGGCUAAACUAUAACUGACGCUGAUGCACGAAAGCGUGGGGAGCAAACAGG